rnacentral:lncRNA from 1 species
UUGAUCUAACAAAUGUCAACCCUAAAUAAUGAGAUUUAGAAAACAUGAUUAAGUAUAGAGUUUAUCUGAGGGCAUUCUGAACUUGCCAUUUGUAGCAUUAUCACAAUUGUAACCAAUUAUACUCUAACCACUGUGUGGUAUCUGCCUCCUUCAUCAGACUGUAAGCACUUUGAAGGCAGGAAUCAUAUCUAUCUCAUUCUUGGCUUUAUAUCUAAGGCCCAGUAGAAUGCCACACACAGGAUACAUAUUGAAUAAAUAAAUGAAUGAAUGUUUUCAUGUAUGGAGAUUUUCUGGGUGUAAGAACUAAAUGUUUUUAAAAGCACAGAAUUUGAAACUAUUAAUUAUGGGGUUUCUAUGCUACAUGUCAGCAGCAUCAGUCCUCCUAUAGAACUUCUGCUGGUUUAUUAUGAAGAAGGUUAAGUAGAAUUAUUGAGAUAAUAAAAGAGACAAUUACCCUCUUUGAGAAAAGCCUGGCUCAACAGUGACAGGAUAAAGUGGAAAGAAAUGAAUGUAGGCAUCUGUGGGUUGGAAAGUCAUGAGGCCAGAGGAGACAUGACUAC